UGGGGAAUCUUAGACAAUGGGGGAAACCCUGAUCUAGCCAUGCCGCGUGAGCGAUGAAGGCCUUAGGGUUGUAAAGCUCUUUCAGUGGGGAAGAUAAUGACGGUACCCACAGAAGAAGCCCCGGCUAACUCCGUGCCAGCAGCCGCGGUAAUACGGAGGGGGCUAGCGUUGUUCGGAAUUACUGGGCGUAAAGCGCACGUAGGCGGAUUGGAAAGUCAGAGGUGAAAUCCCAGGGCUCAACCUUGGAACUGCCUUUGAAACUCCCAGUCUUGAGGUCGAGAGAGGUGAGUGGAAUUCCGAGUGUAGAGGUGAAAUUCGUAGAUAUUCGGAGGAACACCAGUGGCGAAGGCGGCUCACUGGCUCGAUACUGACGCUGAGGUGCGAAAGCGUGGGGAGCAAACAGG
rnacentral:rRNA from 1 species